rnacentral:rRNA from 1 species
AACGAACGCUGGCGGCAUGCCUAACACAUGCAAGUCGAACGAAGGCUUCGGCCUUAGUGGCGCACGGGUGCGUAACGCGUGGGAAUCCGCCCCUCGGUUCGGAAUAACAGUUAGAAACGACUGCUAAUACCGGAUGAUGACUUCGGUCCAAAGAUUUAUCGCCGAGGGAUGAGCCCGCGUAAGAUUAGGUAGUUGGUGGGGUAAAGGCCUACCAAGCCGACGAUCUUUAGCUGGUCUGAGAGGAUGAUCAGCCACACUGGGACUGAGACACGGCCCAGACUCCUACGGGAGGCAGCAGUGGGGAAUAUUGGACAAUGGGCGAAAGCCUGAUCCAGCAAUGCCGCGUGAGUGAUGAAGGCCUUAGGGUUGUAAAGCUCUUUUACCAGGGAUGAUAAUGACAGUACCUGGAGAAUAAGCUCCGGCUAACUCCGUGCCAGCCGCCGCGGUAA